GGUCAAUGGGCUGGAGCCUGAACCAGCCAAGUCGCGUGAAGGAUGACUUGUCUUAUGGAUUGUAACUUCUUUUAUACGGGAAUAACAAGAGUCACGUGUGACUUCCUGCAUGUACCGUAUGAAUAAGCAUCGGCUAACUCCGUGCCAGCAGCCGCGGUAAUACGGAGGAUGCGAGCGUUAUCCGGAUUUAUUGGGUUUAAAGGGUGCGUAGGCGGUUUGUUAAGUCAGCGGUGAAAUCUAGAGGCUCAACCUCGAAACUGCCGUUGAAACUGGCGAACUUGAGUGUAGAUGAGGUAGGCGGAAUUCGUGGUGUAGCGGUGAAAUGCAUAGAUAUCACGAGGAACUCCGAUUGCGAAGGCAGCUUACUAAGGGACAACUGACGCUGAAGCACGAAAGCGUGGGUAUCAAACAGGAUUAGAUAUCCUGGUAGUCCACGCAGUAAACGAUGAUAACUGGGCGUAUGCGAUAUACAGUAUGCUCCUAAGCGAAAGCGUUAAGUUAUCCACCCUGGG
rnacentral:rRNA from 1 species